UACUAGACACGUGGAAACCAGACACGACAGA
rnacentral:piRNA from 1 species